GAUGAACGCUGGCGGUAUGCUUUACACAUGCAAGUCGUACGAGAGUUUUUACUCAAGUGGCGGACGGGUGAGUAACACGUAAGAAUUUACCUUUAGGAGGGGGAUAACAACUGGAAACGGUUGCUAAUACCCCAUAUGCUUUCGAGUGAAAUGGAUUUUCCGCCUAGAGAGAAGCUUGCGGCUGAUUAGCUUGUUGGUAAGGUAAUGGCUUACCAAGGCGACGAUCAGUAUCUGGUUUGAGAGGACGAUCAGACACACUGGAACUGAGACACGGUCCAGACUCCUACGGGAGGCAGCAGUGGGGAAUUUUCCGCAAUGGGCGAAAGCCUGACGGAGCAAUACCGCGUGAGGGAUGACGGCCUAUGGGUUGUAAACCUCUUUUUUCAGGGAGGAAGAAAAUGACGUGUACCUGAAGAAUAAGCAUCGGCUAACUCCGUGCCAGCAGCCGCGGUAAGACGGAGGAUGCAAGUGUUAUCCGGAAUCACUGGGCGUAAAGCGUCUGUAGGUGGUCAAAUAAGUCAACUGUUAAAUCUUGAGGCUCAACCUCAAAAUCGCAGUCGAAACUAUUAGAC
rnacentral:rRNA from 1 species